UAUGUACUCCCUCCGUCCCAAAAUUUUUGUCUUAGAUUUGUCCAAAUACGGAUGUAUCAAGUCAUGUUUUAGUAUUAGGUACAUCCGUAUCUAGACAAAUCUAAGACAAAAAUUUUGGGACGGAGGGAGUACAAG
rnacentral:pre_miRNA from 1 species